GAUGAACGCUGGCGGCGUGCCUAAUACAUGCAAGUCGAACGCUGAAGGAGGAGCUUGCUCUUCUGGAUGAGUUGCGAACGGGUGAGUAACGCGUAGGUAACCUGCCUGGUAGCGGGGGGUAACUAUUGGAAACGAUAGCUAAUACCGCAUGACAACAGUUAUUGCAUGAUAACUGUUUAAAAGGGGCAACUGCUCCACUACCAGGUGGACCUGCGUUGUAUUAGCUAGUUGGUGAGGUAACGGCUCACCAAGGCGACGAUACAUAGCCGACCUGAGAGGGGGGUCGGCCCAACCUGGAAUUGGACACCGCUCAGACCUCCUCGGGGAGCAACAAUAGGGGAACUUCGGCCAUGGGGGGAAGGCUUGCCGAACAACGCCGCGGUAGUGGAGAAGGUUUUCGGAUCGUUAAGCUCCGUUUUUUGGGAAGAACGAGUGUGAGAGUUAAAAGUUCACGCUGUGACGGUACCUAACCAGAAAGCGACGGCUAACUACGUG
rnacentral:rRNA from 1 species